rnacentral:rRNA from 1 species
GAUGAACGCUGGCGGCGUGCCUAAUACAUGCAAGUCGAGCGAACGGACGAGAAGCUUGCUUUUCUGAUGUUAGCGGCGGACGGGUGAGUAACACGUGGAUCACCUACCUAUAAGACUGGGAUAACUUCGGGAAACCGGAGCUAAUACCGGAUAAUAUUUUGAACCGCAUGGUGCAAGAGUGAAAGGCGGUUUUCCUGUCACAUAUAGAUGGUUCCGCGCUGCAUUAGCUAGUUGGUAAGGUAACGGCUUACCAAGGCAACGAUGCAUAGCCGAUCUGAGAGGGUGAUCGGCCACACUGGAACUGAGACACGGUCCAGACUCCUACGGGAGGCAGCAGUAGGGAAUCUUCCGCAAUGGGCGAAAGCCUGACGGAGCAACGCCGCGUGAGUGAUGAAGGUCUUCGGAUCGUAAAACUCUGUUAUUAGGGAAGAACAUAUGUGUAAGUAACUGUGCACAUCUUGACGGUACCUAAUGAGAAAGCCACGGCUAACUACGUG